rnacentral:rRNA from 1 species
GAUGAACGCUGACAGAAUGCUUAACACAUGCAAGUCAACUUGAAUUUGGGUUUUUAACUUCGGUUUGGGUGGCGGACGGGUGAGUAACGCGUAAAGAACUUGCCUCACAGCUAGGGACAACAUUUGGAAACGAAUGCUAAUACCUAAUAUUAUGAUAAUAGGGCAUCCUAUAAUUAUGAAAGCUAUAAGCGCUGUGAGAGAGCUUUGCGUCCCAUUAGCUAGUUGGAGAGGUAACGGCUCACCAAGGCGAUGAUGGGUAGCCGGCCUGAGAGGGUGAUCGGCCACAAGGGGACUGAGACACGGCCCUUACUCCUACGGGAGGCAACAGUGGGGAAUAUUGGACAAUGGACCAAGAGUCUGAUCCAGCAAUUCUGUGUGCACGAUGAAGUUUUUCGGAAUGUAAAGUGCUUUCAGUUGGGAAGAAAGAAAUGACGGUACCAACAGAAGAAGUGACGGCUAAAUACGUG